rnacentral:rRNA from 1 species
UACGGAGGGGGCUAUCGUUGUUCGGAAUUACUGGGCGUAAAGCGCACGUAGGCGGACGAGAAAGUCAGAGGUGAAAUCCCAGGGCUCAACCCUGGAACUGCCUUUGAAACUCCUUGUCUUGAGGUCGAGAGAGGUGAGUGGAAUUCCGAGUGUAGAGGUGAAAUUCGUAGAUAUUCGGAGGAACACCAGUGGCGAAGGCGGCUCACUGGCUCGAUACUGACGCUGAGGUGCGAAAGCGUGGGGAGAAAACAGG